rnacentral:rRNA from 1 species
AUGCAAGUCAGGGGUAGAGUUUCUCGGAAACUUGAGACCGGCGCACGGGUGCGUAACGCGUAUGCAAUCUACCCUUUACUGGGGAAUAGCCCGGAGAAAUUCGGAUUAAUGCCCCAUAUGCCCACGGAAUCGCAUGGUUCAGUGGGGAAAGUUCCGACGGUAAAGGAUGAGCAUGCCGUCCCAUUAGCUAGUUGGUGAGGUAACGGCUCACCAAGGCGACGAGUGGUAGGGGCCCUGAGAGGGUGAUCCCCCACACUGGUACUGAGACACGGACCAGACUCC